rnacentral:lncRNA from 1 species
AAUCUUGACAGGAAACAACAUAGGAAAACGAGCUUUCUUGCCCAAAAUUAAAAUAAAAACAUUUGCAAGAGAUGAUUUUCCUUUUGUCCUUACUAGAACGUAGUUUCUUGUGCGACUAAGUUUCGAAAUUACAAUAAAUAAAUCACAAGAACAAAUCAAUCCAAAUAUUGGAAUAUGUCUUCUACGGCAUGUUUUCAGUUAUAGACAAU